rnacentral:rRNA from 1 species
CCUACGGGCGGCUGCAGUGGGGAAUAUUGGACAAUGGGCGCAAGCCUGAUCCAGCCAUGCCGCGUGAGUGACGAAGGUCUUCGGAUUGUAAAGCUCUUUUGGCGGGGACGAUAAUGACGGUACCCGCAGAAUAAGCCCCGGCUAACUUCGUGCCAGCAGCCGCGGUAAUACGAAGGGGGCUAGCGUUGUUCGGAAUUACUGGGCGUAAAGCGCACGUAGGCGGAUUUGUAAGUCAGGGGUGAAAUCCCGGGGCUCAACCUCGGAACUGCCUUUGAUACUGCAAGUCUCGAGACCGGAAGAGGUGAGUGGAAUUCCUAGUGUAGAGGUGAAAUUCGUAGAUAUUAGGAAGAACACCAGUGGCGAAGGCGGCUCACUGGUCCGGUACUGACGCUGAGGUGCGAAAGCGUGGGGAGCAAACAGGAUUAGAUACCCCAGUAGUC